rnacentral:rRNA from 1 species
UACGGGGGGGGCAAGCGUUGUUCGGAAUUACUGGGCGUAAAGGGUUCGUAGGUGGCCCGCUAAGUCAGACGUGAAAUCCCUCAGCUCAACUGGGGAACUGCGUCUGAGACUGGUGGGCUUGAGUGCAGGAGAGGAACGCGGAAUUCCAGGUGUAGCGGUGAAAUGCGUAGAUAUCUGGAGGAACACCGGUGGCGAAGGCGGCAUUCUGGACCGAUAUUGACGCUGAGGAGCGAAAGCCAGGGGAGCAAACGGG